GUUUUAUAGUUGAAUAAUAAUAUUGAAUUGCAGAUUCAAAGGUUGCAAAUAAAAUUUGCUGAAACUU
rnacentral:tRNA from 1 species